rnacentral:rRNA from 1 species
UACGGAGGGUGCUAGCGUUGUUCGGACUUACUGGGCGUAAAGGGCGCGUAGGCGGUGCCCGAAGUCGGCUGUGAAAGCCCGGGGCUCAAACCCGGAACGGCAGCCGAGACUCGGGCGCUGGAGACCGGGAGAGGAGGGUUGAAUACCCAGUGUAGAGGUGAAAUUCGUAGAUAGUGGGUGGAACACCGGUGGCGAAAGCGGCUCUCUGGCCAGGUUUUGACGCUGAGGCGCGAAAGCGUGGGGAGCAAACAGG